rnacentral:lncRNA from 1 species
CCGUUUCUGUACAAAUCAUCAUGGCUGAACGUGAUGAGCAGAAAGGCCCAUCAGCCUCCAAAAUCCUAGCUGUCAUAGCCCUCCUCCCUCUAGGAGGCACCCUGCUGCUUCUAUCCGGCCUGACAUUCGUGGGGUCAAUGGUCGGCCUCGCCGUCGCCACCCCACUCUUCCUCCUCUUCAGUCCCGUUCUGGUUCCAGCGGCAAUAGGGAUCGGCCUCGCCGUCACCGGAUUUCUCUCGUCUGGAGCUUUAGGAGUAACAGCCCUCUCGUCGCUGUCGUGGUUCCUUAACUAUCUCCGGCAAUUGGCGGCUGGGAUGCCGGAUUAUUUUCAGAGGGUGACUGACAAACUGGGCCGAGAAACGAAGGAAAUGGGCCAGGAGUUGCAGAGUCAGGCCCAUGAAGGCUGGGGCAAGCCGACAAAACGAAUACAAAUUGGGCUAUGAGCUGGGCGUGGGACGUCAAGCAUUUGGGCCCUGGGGUGCUCUGUGGUUUUAUUUCAUUUUCUACGUUGGAGAAUAGAUGGCUAGGUUUCAUUUUGCUGUACGCGUGUUUGCUUUGAGGCAUAAAAUAAUA